rnacentral:rRNA from 1 species
UACGUAGGGUGCGAGCGUUAAUCGGAAUUACUGGGCGUAAAGCGUGCGCAGGCGGUGAUGUAAGACAGAUGUGAAAUCCCCGGGCUCAACCUGGGAACUGCAUUUGUGACUGCAUCGCUGGAGUGCGGCAGAGGGGGAUGGAAUUCCGCGUGUAGCAGUGAAAUGCGUAGAUAUGCGGGGGAACACCGAUGGCGAAGGCAAUCCCCUGGGCCUGCACUGACGCUCAUGCACGAAAGCGUGGGGAGCAAACAGG